rnacentral:rRNA from 1 species
GUCUAUGGCCAUGCUACCCUGAAUGUGCCCGAAUCUGUCUGAUCUUGGAAGCUAAGCAGGGUCGGGCCUGGUUAGUACUUGAAUGGGAGACCACCUAGGAAGACCAGGUGCUGUAGGUG